rnacentral:rRNA from 1 species
GACGAACGCUGGCGGCGUGGAUAAGACAUGCAAGUCGAGCGGGACAAUCAGGGUAGCAAUGUUCUGGUUGUUCAGCGGCGCAAGGGUGCGUAACACGUGGGUAAUUUGCCAUGAAGUCUGGAAUAACUUGCUGAAAGGCGAGCUAAUGCCGGAUGUGACUUCCGAGGGGCAUCUCUUGGAAUUCAAAGCUGGAACCGUAAGGUCUGGCGCUUCUUGAUAAGCCCGCGGUCUAUCAGCUAGUUGGUGAGGUAACGGCUCACCAAGGCUAAGACGGAUAGCUGGUCUGAGAGGACGACCAGCCACACUGGAACUGAGACACGGUCCAGACACCUACGGGUGGCAGCAGUCGAGAAUUUUUCACAAUGGGCGAAAGCCUGAUGGAGCGACGCCGCGUGGGGGAUGAAUGGCUUCGGCCCGUAAACCCCCUGUCAUUUGCGAACAAACCUUACCGGUUAAUACCCGGUGAGCUGAUUGUAGCGGAAGAGGAAGGGACGGCUAA